ACAGGAAGAUCAGGCAGGCCAAGACGAAGACAGAUAACUAAGAACCACCUACAUAUCCAACAUGGCAUCUGCUUUGACAGCUGGAGAGCUACGCAAUUCAUUCCAUAGCUGAAAGCAGCUCAUCGAUCCCCACAUUGGAGUGCUCAAUAAAUAAAACCCAUAUGAUUAUUUUCUGUGCCUGACUCCAGAUGAAAUUUGUGCUAUGGAGUGGACCACGCAUUUAAUUUUAAUAUGGCAAUCGGUAACAACUUAGAUGCGAUGGUUAUUUGUGACCUCCAGUUCCCUUGCAGAGAUCCACUUGGACACUUUGUCGAGUCUAAGGAGGAGCAAACCAUCUGACGUUUCUAUCGGAUCAUGAAUGCUAAAUCUUUACUCUACUACU
rnacentral:sRNA from 1 species